AUUUGAACAUGUGGCAAUUAUAAGCAAUUUAAGGACAGCAGCAUUUAAGGUAGCUGUUAAAUGUCUCCACAUGCUCACAGCAACUGUGGAAACAAGGCUCUGGCUUGCUCAUUUCAGGGCAUUUUCCCUAAUAAACACCUUGUGUCAGAGCCAGCCUGCUACACUGGAGUACAAUGGCAACAGGCUUGCACAAUACCGCCAUUAGCACUGUAAUCAUGUCACCAGCUCCCGGCUAAAAGCCAUCAACGAUCUCUAUAACAAUGCGGUUAAAUGUACGUCCAUAAAUGUUUAUUUAAAGUGCUUGGUAUGUGUUGGGAGAUGUUAGGCCAACACAGCUAUAUGGAGAAAUAAAGUUGGUAACUCAGACCAACUCAUCUUGCAAUGGUACGGCUGCAUUGGGUUGCAUGUACACUCUGUGGCCAAUACGCUGCCUUCGCUGAAGCUACCUCACAAUCAGCUCUUUGACUGAGGGCCCGAUGCAUCAGAUGCCCCAGGCGGGCAUUGACCCCUAUAUCUGUGUAUGUGUCCUAAUGUCAAGCCACAGGUCUGCGAAUAAUGAAAGCAGCGUGAAGACCGCUACCUGACUACGAGGAAAUACCUCUGGUCUGAGUGUGUCUGUGUGUGUUCAUGCACAUGUGUACAUGGAUGGAUGUUAUGUAUGAGUGCGUCUGCACUGGAUGUGGUAAAUGUGUUGUUAAACGGGCUUGACUCAGUAACGCUUGCACAUGACUGCAGGAGGUAAUAAGUCUUUUAUAGAAGACUUAAGAGUAGCAACGUUACAUGUAUACUGCUUUGAUCGAAUAUGGCAUCUGAAUUCACCAUUUGCAUAAAAGGGUAUGGGUUACAGUUAUACAUGCAUUCAAGCGUCAAAUGUGUAUAUUUGUGUGUGGGGAAAUGUGCUUUAUUGUGUGUGUGUGUGAAAAAUAAUGCUAAAUAUAUGUCAUGGAUUGGGUGUGUUUAUGUUUGUUUUUAAUGUAUUUUACUGUGUACUUCAACCACCUCAUGUCUUCUCCCAAACCUCAGAUGAAAAAGUCAUUAGCCGGCACCAACGGUCCCAAAACCAGAGAUUCCGGGUCUACAAGAGAUACAGUCUUCCUCUCGCUUGGAAAAAGAGUGAGCAGCGGACACAGAGAGGAAGGGAGAGGCAUGUCAGAGGAGGGAGGCUUCCCAUAAAUGUCAGUUUGGACAAUUCAAGCCAAACUUCAGGGGAGAUGCCCCCUCAGAAUAUUCAGCCUUCUUACUGAGAAAUAUGAUGAUGGAGAGGCAGGGAGGACUUUAAGAAAAACAUGAAGAUUUGCAGAGAAACAUAAACAAAAUGGUCAAGGAAAAUUCAAUAAGAGUCCUUAAGUGAUGGGGAGAGGGUGAGAACACCAGACAGAGGCAGGGAAAUAAAGAAAGAAAAAGAUUGAAAGCUGAGCGAGCUCUUACUGGAACUGUGAAUAAAUGCGUUGGCCUUGAUUUAUGACCUUUAAGUGUUUUGGCAAAGAUGGAAUAUUGCUGUCAUAGCCAUAAAGUCACUUUGAAUUUUUGAGAGAGAGAGUAGUGGGACAGAGAAAACGAAGGGAGAGGGUGGAGGGCAUACGAGACUGCAAAGAGUCUGCACAUGGAGAAAGAGACAGGCAAAAUUAAAGAGUGCUAGAGUCAAGAUAAUAAAGAAACGGUCAAUUUAAUUUAUUCAAAAUGUUACACUCCAUGAGGGAAUUUCAUGGAAACAUGGUGCUAAAAUAUUGACGGUUGCUUUUAAGCGUUGAAAAGAGCAGAGGCGGAGACACAAGGAAGGAGAAAAGGAAAACAAAAGACAAGGCGAGUGAACAGAAUAUUGGACAAAGCCAUUGCGUUAACUUGCGUUCCGCUGGUCAGUCGUUUUUCAAGCUUCAGACAGCGGGUGUCACCAGCUCUAUGGAAACCGUUGGGUGGGAGGAUGGGAGGAGGAAUUUGGCUGGUAGGCUACAAAGAGCUAUGUCACCAUCUGAAACCAUGACGUCCAGCCCUUUAUUGAUUCCAUAACUUUGCGUUCCGGGUAAAAUACAGCCUUCUACUGUAUCACGUCAUCAAAUCAGAUUUCCUGAUAUGUGCAAACCAACCAUCCCACAAUCCAAUUUUCUAGAUUUUCGCUACCACGCAGCCAAACUUUCUGGAAUGGAGAAAGUGUGAAAGGCAACACCUGCCAGAGAUAGGACAAGUACAUGAGGAACUGAGAGCGGAGGAUGAAAAGGAAGUUUCCCUGUUGCACAUAAACUGGACUGUCACGGAGUGAAAGCAUUGGUGAGCUACAUAUCUCACUGUUGCUGUCACUGCAUUGCUCUGCCAUGAC
rnacentral:lncRNA from 1 species